AGUCGGAACCAGCCUCCCCCAAGAAUCGUGCAUAUAUACACAUCCACACGCCAGCCCAAUGCCACCCACGUGGGACCAUUGAUUUCACUACCUCCAGGCUUUCUCAGGCUAUCAAGGGAAAAGAGGCCAAUAAUGGGAAGAAAGAAACCCCCAGCCCCCCCAACUUAUGAAGAUGGAAACUGGUGAUCUAGGAUUCCCAGAAAGGGUAGAGAAAAACUCACUUAGCCUCCUAGAUUCACAGAACUAGGUAAGUACCUCCCCCAGCCCCGCUCCUUGGACCGUAAUGGAUGGGGAAGAGCGAGGAAGAAGGAAGUGGGUCUUGGUUUUACUGCUUGCUGCCUUAUCAAGAGCAGCCCUUAGGCCUGGGGCAACUACAGCUGAUGGUGGUCACACCAUGAAGAUUGUUGCUCUCUAGUCCAUUCUUGAUAAUUUAGGGUGAAUAAUACAAAACGUUUUAACUCAGGCUACGGUUGUGAGCCUACUUCUCACCUCUAUCAAGUGAAGCCAAGCGAGGUAUGAAGAGUGCCUAACAGUUUACCAACUGUCAUAUAUAUCAUACCUCAUCUAAUACAACUCUCCGAAAAGAAAGCAUUGUAAAUAUCCCCACUUGAGAAAUGAUGAAAGGAAAAUUCAGAGAAGUCACAAAAUUUUCCCAGAGUUUACCAGGUAAUCGGAAGAGGCUGGUUUCUAAUCUAGAUCUCCUGACUCCAAGUGCCCUAAACCAUGGGCACUGACUGAAGAUUUCAUCUCCCUCCCUCUUCCAUCCUUUGCUUACAUUUAAAGUGCCUAUGAGCAAUAGAAAGGUUUUUUGAGGGUUGGGUUUUCAGAGAAUUUAUAGAUUUCAAUUCUUCCUGUUCUUUCUGCUCCCAAAUUAUCAUAGAUUACAUAAAGUUGGCUUCAUAUUAUCUCUUGGGUCUUUAGAUGAAAAAAUAAAUUUUAGAAAUAUAAUAAAAAAAAAAUGGGCUUAAUGUACACUUGGGUGGGGGCAGGGGAGGAUGGGGCCAAUGGUUUUUAUGUCUCUCUGCUCUAGAAUCAAAUCCAGAUUUGGCUCUAGGGCCAAAUCUCCAGUAGAAAAGUCAAUCCUGUCUUCCAAUCAAACAAAUGAAGUCAUCUGUGCUAAUAUUUAUACAAGGGAUACAAAGAGACUACACAGUAUCACUUUGUAGAUGCUGGGAAAAGACACCACCUGUUCAUUCAAAGCCGAAGACUUCAGUUCCACCUAGAUGUUGGGGAAAUUAACAUAAACUUUUUUGAAAGAAGGGUUAGUCAUUCAAAAUAGUAACAUGCUUUCUCCUCCCUCCAAAAAACAAUCUUCAGAUAAUUAGGAUUUGAGAAGAAAGGGGUCGGUUCUCUACAUCAUGUGGCACUGUGAAGAUAUGAUAAUUAACAUCCACUGUUAAGAGUUACAAAGCAAUCCCUUUCCUAUGUUAUUCAGAAGACUUGGCUCCUUAUUCCCGAAUUAAAAUGAGGACGAAAAGACCUAACUUCCACCUUGUCUCAACAUCAGUGGGCUGCUUUCCCCACAGCCAACCACCUUUCCUAAACUCCCGACUUUUCAACCGCUAAGACCAUGGAAACAUUAAGAAUGACCCUCCUUCAUCAAACCUCAACUUCCCCUCCCACUUGCACUUCUGACCAAUGUACUCACUUCAAAGCAAGCAACAGCAUCCUGUUCAGUUACUCAGUAGGGCCUCUGUAUCUUCACCUAACACCUUCAACCCAAAGAAAACCAAAAGCCACAAAAGACCUCCAUCAUCUCCACACAGCUCCUAGUCCGGCGAUGGCACUUAUGUAACCUCUGGUUUUUGCUCUUAUUGUUUAUUUUGUCAGUUGCCAUGGGAAAGACUGGACAACUCCAUCUGCAAGGGGUAAUUACUGGCCUUCCAAACACACACACACUCACGCAGCAGAGAAGAAGUAUGUGCAGUUAAAGACUUCUUCAAGGAGACCAAGCAAAGGUUAACCAAUGUAUUACUUUGCUGCUGGCAUGCACACAGAAAGGCAGCUGUUCGUUACCAACUAUACUCCAUAUUUUCAGCUCAAGUAUUCAUAAUCGAAAUUAGUAUCUCCUCACAAGUUAAUAUUUCUCAGGCACUACAGACUAAGUGGAUCAUCUUUGCACAAAGAAGAACCAUAAAUAGAAAUUCACAAGUCUGACUUUACCGAAUGUCAAUGAGGUUAAGAGAGGCUGAGCAACUCUCAUAGGACUGAUUAAUAGUGGAGUCAAGAGUCCAGCCCAGAGCCCACAGUCUUGCUGCACUGACCAUUGCUCACGGUGCCUGACCACAGCCUGGGUCACAAGCACCGCUGGCUUCUGGUCUGAUCUCCUGACAGGCUGAAGGGACUCCAACUCUCACCCAACCCAUCCAGUCAAAGUGAGAAAAAUACAAAGCUCCUUUGGUACCAAAGUGCCUAUGAUCACAGGCCACAAUAGUAACAGUGAUCCUCUCUUUUGAUUCCAGCACAAAAUAAAUAUGCAUGUGUGACUGACAUUCAAACGAUGUGGCCUUUUCCACUUUCUUCACCAGUUUCCAUUUCCUGCAGUUAACUCCUUAACACUCUUUGCAUGUCUUGCCAAAACCAUGGCUACCUGCUGAUGUACAAGAUAAAGUCAACUCUGAGUUUUAGGAGAUUUAAGAAUGUGGACUAGUAAGAAGAGCAGUAGUUCUGCUGCCAUCUACUUUGGUUUUUUUUUUUUUCCCCUGGGAGAAGAAAUAUUUAUCCCUUGGCCUCUUCUUUAAUGUAGGUAAAUCAUUUAGACUGUUGUGAUUCUUUUUUAAGUAGUUAAUUUACAAUGUUCUGUGAAUGUCUGCUGUGCAAAGUGACCCAGUUACACACAUAAACACAUUCUUUUUCUCACGUUAUCCUCCAUCAUGUUCCAUCACAAGGGAUUAGACGGAGUUCCCUGUGCUAUACAGCAGGAUCUCAUUGCUUAUCCACUCCAAAUGCCACAGUGAUUUUUAAUCUUUACCCUUUGGAUUGGAUUCCUAAGGAUGAAACAUUUGUAGAAUUCCCGAAGAAAACUCUCGUGGUAGUGCAAAGUUUAAAAUACAAUUAAAAGAGAUCAGGUGCUGUCAGAAGCAGUCUUGCAGACGAGGCUGGCCAUGUUAAUUGCUGCAUCUUUUAAUAUGUCAACAAACAUGGGUGGAGUCUCCAGAAGGGCCAGGCUCAUCCCUACCUCCCCUCACAGUCCAGUCUACCCUCCUGGACUCCACCGACCAGUGGGGGCAUCGGCCAGUGUAGACUGCCCCCUUCUCCAUCAGCACGGCACUCCCGGCUGUCACAGUGCUGCCGGAACGAGUUUGGUAAGACGCUGGCUCCAGUCCCUUGGCCUCAUCUGACCCUUGUCCUCCUGCCAUAUCACUCAUCUCCUGGAAAGGAACAUAUUCCCAAGCCUCUUCCCCAUCAGUAGUAGGAAGGGAAUUUCAAGUCCCUGAGUGUUAAGUGAUGUGGGUAGAGAAAAAGGUCCAGCCUGGCUUCCUCAGGCGGGAGAUGAGAGGGAGCGGUAGGCAAACACAAUGCUAUACUUUCACUUUGCCAAAUUCCCAUCCUUUUUUGGCCUGAGGCAACACCAGAAGAGAAAGCCAAGAGGAGGUGGGAGGAUGAGUGGAAAGGGCUCCUCCUCUUCCCCUGUGCUUCCUGUCUGUAAACACAUCUGCACCACCCUUCCCCACGCAGGGCGCCUGGGGAGAUGCACGGGCUCGCCUGCCGGCAGGGGCCCGCCACCCACACCAGGCACUUCCGUACGCCCCGGGAAGCUGGGCACGGAGAGUUGUCAGGGUGGAUCCAGGCAGCCCAACGGAUGACAGUGCCCUUUCCAUUAACAGCCAGAGUUCUUGGGCUGCUUCCCAGAGGUGAGCAGGGAAAGGACAUCAAAACAUUUUUGUCUUUGCCCUCUCCUAGCACCACACUCUUACCCUUGCCCUAGAUGCUGCGGCCCACAGGAGUGAACGAGGAGGGCCUGGCCGGGGGGUGAGCCAUUCUACCUGCGGGAAUGAAGGCAGGCCCCAGAGCAGGGAGGCCGUGGAGCAGAAACCCCAGCUCACAGACCCAAGGCCAGAGCAGAGGCUGUAAUUAAACAUAAACUUGCCAGCAGCUCUCUCUUAACACAUGAAGCCAAAAGUUAAAACGUCUAAUGGUCUGGGGCCCAUGCCAAGCCCCAGCCCAGGGCCCUCCCCACAGAGACUAAUGCAAAGGAGUGAGGUGUGGCAGGGGCCAGACAACCAGGUGGCUGCAGGGAGCCCCUCUUCCAGGCUUCUGUGACGUGCUAACCACCAUCAGUGGUGCUUUGUUGAUGUAUCUGGCCCACCAGGAACAGUGUGGAGCCGACAGCCUUUGCUGGACUUCAUGUCUUUGGCUAAACAUGUGAGGUCCGUACUGCCGAACAAAGUGGCCACUAGACACACGUGGCUCACGGGCACUUGAAAUGUGGCCAAUCCCAGCCGAGAAGUGCUGAGCACUUCAAAGGCACAGAGGAUUACAUGAGCAUGAAAGUAGAUUACAUGAAAGUGGACUAUCUCAAUUUUUUUUAAUCUCCAUUACCUAUUAAAAUCAUAAGAGGUUGGCUACAUUGGUUAAGUAAACUGUAUGGUUAAAGUUCAUUUCACUUGGUUUUCUGUUUCCUAACAUGGCCUCUAGAACAUUUCAAAUCACACUUUACAUGUACAUAUAUACAAACACACGUGCGUCGUAUUUCACUUGGACGGCAUGGCUCUGGGUACGCCAUUAAUGCUGCUGAAGGAAUGAAUGCUGACUGAAGAGACAGCAUUCAAUAGUCCAUAGAAAUGGUUAAAAAAGGAGCAAGCCAUCACUCUUCUCUGAAGUAACGUUUGUAGCUGGAGCUACAUUUCAUUCUGAGUCACUUGCUAUGAGAAAAUGCUUACUAAUCACUCAGGACUCCAAAAGAAUGAGAGGGCGACAGACUGUCGGCCAGGCCACACCACCAAGGCCAAACAACCUUCGGUCCUAUGGUGGAGACUCCACAGAGCACAGGACCAAGCACACACACACACUGCAAGAAACUGCCAAAUGGAAAGAAAACAACCCAUCUGAGAACCCCACAGUUUUCCAAACUUCUCUUCACUCUAAACCUAACUCUGUUCUCAGCCCAACCCUUUGCUGUUCAAAUAUUCUUUAAGACUGUUUUAAGACAAUUCACUGCAAAUUAAAAGCACUAUGAGGUAUCAGCUCACACACACAUCAGGAUAGCUACUAUAAAAAACAAGAAUAAUAAGAUAAAAAGUAUUGGUGAGGCUGUUGAGGCAUUAGAACCUUUGUGCACUGUGGGUAGAAAUGUAAAAUGGUGCAGCUGCUUUGGAAAAAAAGUAUGGAGGUGCCUCAAAACAUGAAAACUAAAACUGCUAUAUGAUCCAGCAAUUCCAUUUCCAGGUAUGCAUCCAAAGGCACUGAAAGCAGGAUCUCUAGCAGAUCCUUGCAUGCCCAUUGGUCAUGGCACCAUUAAUUACAACAUCUAAGAGGUGGAGGAAACCCACGUGUCCAUCAACAGAUGAAUGGAUAAACAAAACGGGGUGUGUACCUACUCUGGAAAAUUAUUCAACCUUCAAAGAAGGCAAACCUGCCCAAUGCUAGGAAAUGAGUGAAUCCAGGGGUCAUUGUGUGAAGUGAAACAAGCCAGUCACAAAAGGACAGAUAUUGUGUGAUUUCACUUAUGACCUCUCUAAAGUAGUCAGUCAAGCCUAUAGAAACAGAAAUUAGAAUAGUGAGUGCCAGAGGCUGGAGGGAGGGGAGACUGGGCAGUUGUUGUUUAGUGGGUACAGAAUUUCAGUUUUGCAAGAUAAAAAAGUUCACAGAUCUGUUACUCAACAAUGUAAAUAUUAACAGAACUGUACACGUAAAAAUGGUUAAGAUGCUAAGUUUUAUGGGUUUUUUUUUUUACAAUAAAAAAUGACCAAAACAUGCAGCAUGAUCAAUUUUAGUGCUGCGGAAAAGUCCACAAUGGAGACUCUGACCCAGUACAACAUCUCAGCAUCUUUUGUUUUCAUAAAAGGAGUUCCCCGGUGGUACAGUCGGUUAAAGAUCCAGCAUUGUCACUGCAGUGUUGUGGGUUCAAUCCCUGGCCAGGAAUGUCCACAUGCUUCGGGUUCAGCCAAAAAAAAAAAAGAAAGAAAAAA
rnacentral:lncRNA from 1 species